rnacentral:rRNA from 1 species
UGGGGGAUAUUGCACAAUGGAGGAAACUCUGAUGCAGCGACGCCGCGUGAGUGAAGAAGUAUUUCGGUAUGUAAAGCUCUAUCAGCAGGGAAGAUGAUGACGGUACCUGACUAAGAAGCCCCGGCUAACUACGUGCCAGCAGCCGCGGUAAUACGUAGGGGGCAAGCGUUAUCCGGAUUUACUGGGUGUAAAGGGAGCGCAGGCGGUUUGGCAAGUUGAGAGUGGAAGCAGGGGGCUCAACCCCCUGACUGCUCCCAAAACUGUUAAACUUGAGUAUGGGAGAGGCAGGCGGAAUUCCUAGUGUAGCGGUGAAAUGCUUAGAUAUUAGGAAGAACACCGGUGGCGAAGGCGGCCUGCUGGACCAAAACUGACGCUGAGGCUCGAAAGCGUGGGUAGCAAACAGGAUUAGAUACCCUGGUAGUCCACGCUGUAAACGAUGAAUACUAGGUGCUGGGAGGCAUAAGCCUUUCGGUGCCGUCGCAAACGCAUUAAGUAUUCCACCUGGGGAGUACGUUCGCAAGAAU